rnacentral:rRNA from 1 species
GCCUGCUCCUGACAUGAAAUGUUCAAUAGCCGCGGUGUGUUGACCGUGCAAAGGUACCAUUAUCAUCACUUUGUUAAUUGGAAACUUGUAAGAAUGGUUAAACAAAGAAAAGUCUGUCUUUUUUUAUCAAAAUUGAAUUUAACUUGUAAGUGAAAAGGCUUAAAUUUUCUAGAGGGGUGAUAUGACCCUAUAAAGCUUUAUAAACUUAAUAAGUUUGAAGAAUUAAAAAUAAUAAAAAUACACUUAAAAGGUUUAUUCUGGGCGAUCUUUAAUUUUUUACGUGAUCUGAGUUCAAACCGGGUAAACAAUUAUAUUUGAUAAAAAUUUAAAUGAUCCUUAAUAAAGAUUAAAAGAUCAAGUUACUUUAGGGAUAACAGCGUAAUUUCUUUUAAGAGUUCUUAUCAAAGAAGGAGUUUGCCACCUCCAUGUUGAAUUAAAAUGUCUUUAUAGAGCAUCAGCUAUAAAAGAAGGGCUGUCCGAUCAACCUUUUUUAAUGAUGGAUUUGAUACCGGGCG